UGCCAGCCGCCGCGGUAACACGUACUGUGCGAACGUUAUUCGGAAUCACUGGGCUUAAAGGGUACGUAGGCGGUUAAUCAAGUCAGGUGUGAAAUGCCUGAGCUCAACUGAGGCACUGCGCUUGAAACUGAUUAACUUGAGUGUUCCAGGGGUAUGCGGAACUGCCAGUGGAGCGGUGAAAUGCGUUGAUAUUGGCAGGAACACCAGUGGCGAAGGCGGCAUACUGGGGGACAACUGACGCUGAGGUACGAAAGCCAGGGUAGCGAACGGGAUUAGAUA
rnacentral:rRNA from 1 species